GUUUACUUCUGUAAAGGUCAUCAGAGAUGCACCUUACAGGCUAGAAGACCAGUAGGUGGUCUACAGUAUCCUCCAGAAGGGGGCGUUUCACCAGUCUUCUGAGACGCGAGAGGUAGUACGAGAGAUUAUUUUUACAAAAAAGGGACAAAAUAAUAGUAAAAAAAAGAACUAGCGACCACAUGGUUAUGUUUAGCACGAGGACAGGUCUGAUCAGGGACCACUGCGGUAGCCGUUUCAGUUCCACACCAUCUUCAUCACACAGGAGCAGUGGUCUUACCUUGGGAUCGUAGUCGGGGUCGUUCUCCUCAUCAGCCUCUUCCUCUCCCUCCUUAUA